CUCUACAGAUAUCCCGCACCAAAUGCACCCAAUCGCAUCUGAUCUUGUGAAGCUAAGCAGGGUUGGGCCUGGUUAGUACUUGGAUGGGAGACCACCUGGGAAUAUAGGAUGCUGUAGGCU
rnacentral:rRNA from 1 species